rnacentral:hammerhead_ribozyme from 1 species
ACCAGCUGACGCGUCCCAAACAGGAUGGAACGCGCGUCGUAGAU